rnacentral:antisense_RNA from 1 species
GAGAGACCAGGGGAGCUAAGUGAUUGAUGGAGCUUCCGGAAGUCUUGGCGGCUGUACCAGCGCUAAUGUUCCUCCUUUUCCUGAGGUGGAGUGGGCCGAAGAGGUGGUCAGGUAUUCUAAUCACAGAAUUACUGGAGCAUCAAGAAGUGCCUGCAUGCUUGGAAGGGCUUCCAGGCAGAUGAACACACCUCAGCACCGGGUGGCAUUUUCCCAGGGUGCAACCCGGAGCGGCUCUGGGUCACACUGACAAGGACAACAGGGUUAACAAUUUCCAGAGACAGCCCGUACAUAGAAGGAAUGUUUACUGAAAAAAAUGAAGAGGGGUCAGGGCAAGGCGAGGAGCGAGAAGCACCCCCAAGGAAACAGAGAAGACCAGUACAACUGUACCUCUUUGCCAGCUGCACCAUCCGUACCAGUCUCCUGGGGUGGAAGUGUCCAGCGCAGAGACUGCCACACUGCAAGAUGAAGGGGCUGGACACACGGAAGAGAGAGGCGGAACCCUGCACCCCCUCGACCUCAGCCCUACUGAGUCUCCAAUGGGGCCACGCUUCUGAGUGCACCUCCCCCUGUCAUCUGUAAUGUGAGGGGGAACCAGGCUUGAUAUGGCAUUCCCAAUCCAGGGC